rnacentral:rRNA from 1 species
UGAGAUAACGUAAGGGAAAAAACUGAUAUUACCUUACUAUUAGUGUUGUCCAAAACUGGUGCCAGAAGACUCGGUAAGGCCAGAGACGCAAACGUUAGUCGUCCUAAUCAGGCGUAAAGGGUGUGUAGGCGGCUUUAAACAUUUUAUUUUCUUUUUUUAAAGUUCUUUUUUAUAAGUUUCUUUUAAAUUUAAAUUUUCUUUUUUAAAGUGUAGAUAUUAUACUUAAACCCUAUAAUAAUCUCAAAAUAUUAUUAAUUGAAGCUAGAAUCAAAUUGAAGAUAAUCAAAAUAAUACUUAGGGUAGGGCCGUAUCCGUAGAUUCUAAGGGGAAUACUAACCGCGAAAGCUUUUUAUCUAUUAAUGAUUGACGCUGAGAAACGAAGGUGAGAAUAGGAAAUAGGAUUAGAUACCCAGAUACCUCUCACUGUCAACGAUGAAUGGUAGUUGUUAGUUUUAUUAAAACUGGUAACGAGGUUAACACGAUGACCAUUCCGCCUUGCGAGUACGGUUGCAAAACUGAAA